CUUUGGGUGUGACUGCGUACCUUUUGUAUAAUGGGUCAGCGACUUAUAUUCUGUAGCAAGGUUAACCGAAUAGGGGAGCCGGAGGGAAACCGAGUCUUAACCGGGCGUUAAGUUGCAGGGUAUAGACCCGAAACCCGGUGAUCUAGCCAUGGGCAGGUUGAAGGUUGGGUAACACUAACUGGAGGACCGAACCGACUAAUGUUGAAAAAUUAGCGGAUGACCUGUGGCUGGGGGUGAAAGGCCAAUCAAACCGGGAGAUAGCUGGUUCUCCCCGAAAGCUAUUUAGGUAGCGCCUCGUGAAUUCAUCUCCGGGGGUAGAGCACUGUUUCGGCUAGGGGGCCAUCCCGGCUUACCAACCCGAUGCAAACUGCGAAUACCGGAGAAUGUUAUCACGGGAGACACACGGCGGGUGCUAACGUCCGUCGUGAAGAGGGAAACAACCCAGACCGCCAGCUAAGGUCCCAAAGUCAUGGUUAAGUGGGAAACGAUGUGGGAAGGCCCAGACAGCCAGGAUGUUGGCUUAGAAGCAGCCAUCAUUUAAAGAAAGCGUAAUAGCUCACUGGUCGAGUCGGCCUGCGCGGAAGAUGUAACGGGGCUAAACCAUGCACCGAAGCUGCGGCAGCGACACUGUGUGUUGUUGGGUAGGGGA
rnacentral:rRNA from 2 species